UUGAAUAACUAUGGUGUUGGUUGUAGCUGGCUUCUAGGAGCAUGUGCACGCCCGCCAUUUUUAUCUUUCCACCUGUGCACUCAAUGUAGGCCUGGAUAACUCUUGCUUUUGAGCGGAUACAAGGAUUGCUUUCGAGCUCUCUUUGAAUUUCCAGGUCUAUGUCCCUUUACACACCCCAAUCGUAUAACGAAGAAUGCAGUCAAUGGGCUUCUAUGCCUAUAAAUCAAAAUA
rnacentral:misc_RNA from 1 species